GGGCGCUUGAGACUAUCUGUCUCUGGCGCGCUGGAGCAGAUAGAAGAAAGCCCCAAAUGAUCUUUCAAUCAAUUUGAGGCCCAUCUAUGCGUAGCAACAUAAGAUUAGCCUCUUACACGCCGAAAGGCAAGGAGACGCUAACCAUG
rnacentral:antisense_RNA from 1 species